rnacentral:siRNA from 1 species
AAAUUUGCCUCUGAAAUUAUUGGA